rnacentral:rRNA from 1 species
AGAACGAACGCUGGCGGCAUGCCUAAUACAUGCAAGUCGAACGAACUCUUCGGAGUUAGUGGCGCACGGGUGCGUAACGCGUGGGAAUCUGCCCCUUGGUUCGGAAUAACAGUUGGAAACGACUGCUAAUACCGGAUGAUGACGAAAGUCCAAAGAUUUAUCGCCAAGGGAUGAGCCCGCGUAGGAUUAGCUAGUUGGUGAGGUAAAGGCUCACCAAGGCAACGAUCCUUAGCUGGUCUGAGAGGAUGAUCAGCCACACUGGGACUGAGACACGGCCCAGACUCCUACGGGAGGCAGCAGUAGGGAAUAUUGGACAAUGGGCG